rnacentral:rRNA from 1 species
AUUAGAUACCCUAUUAUUUUUAAUGUAAAGAAUAAAGAAGCCAGAGUAUUAUUAGCUAUGAUCUUGAAACUUAAAGAAUUUGGCGGUAUUAUAGUCUAUUUAGAGGAAUCUGUUAUGUAAUCGAUAGUCCACGUUGAACCUUACUUAUAUUAUUUCUUGUAUACCGCUGUUUAAUGAAGAUACUUUAAGGUUAUUUUCUGGAUAAAUAAAUAAUUAGAAUUUCAAGUCAAGGUGCAGUUAUAUAUAAGAUAAAAUAAUGGAUUACAAUAAAUUUUAUUUAUACGGAUAUUUCUUGAAAAAGGGAUUUGAAGGUGGAUUUAAUUGUAAUUUUUUGAAGAUUGUUUAAAUGAUUAUUAGCUCUAUAAUAUGCACACAUCGCCCG